UGCGGAAGGAUCAUUAUUGAAUUUUGAAUGGGGUUGUAGCUGGCCUUUCAAAGGGCAUGUGCACGCCUCGCUUCAAUCCACUUACCCCUGUGAACACUCUGUAGGUCGGCUCAAGGGACAAAUCCUUAACGGGGUUUGUUUUGGGCCUUCCUAUGUUUUAUUACAAACGUUUAAAGUCUAAAGAAUGUACUCGCGUCUAACGCAUUAUAUACAACUUUCAGCAACGGAUCUCUUGGCUCUCGCAUCGAUGAAGAACGCAGCGAAAUGCGAUAAGUAAUGUGAAUUGCAGAAUUCAGUGAAUCAUCGAAUCUUUGAACGCACCUUGCGCUCCUUGGUAUUCCGAGGAGCAUGCCUGUUUGAGUGUCAUGGAAUUAUCAACUUGUUUAUCUUUGUAUGAACGCAGUUGGAUUUGGAGGCCAUUGCCGGAUUGUAAUGACUCGGCUCCUCUUGAAUGCAUUAGCUCGAACCUUUGCGGAUCAGCUUUUGGUGUGAUAAUUGUCUACGCCGCUAACUGAGACGCAUGAAUGGGAUUGGCUUACAGUCGUCCUUGAACGGACAAUUUAUUAUGACUUCUGACCUCAAAUCAGGUAGGAUUACCCGCUGAACUUAAGCAUAUCA
rnacentral:rRNA from 1 species